GCCACCAGUAAGCCAGUUAAAUACCGACAUGGACAAGAAAAAGACAUGGAAACUGUAGAAAAGAAGAUGAAAUACAAAGUUGAAAAAGGCUAAUUUAAAAGUAUGGAAUCAGAGAAGAAAAUGCCUAGAAGCCAAAUAUACAUUUAAUAAUGAAAAGUGAAAAAGACUGCAAAGUAUCGACAUGCACGCCCUAUAAACAGUGCUUCAAUACUGCAACCAUUUCUAUGAGUCCAAAUAAUGGAAUCAAAAAAAUAUGGAAAACAUGAUGUCUGCAAAAAAAAUCCAUGCAAAUAUAUUGUAUUGUUUAUUGAAAUUGUACAGCUAAAAUUAUGAAUAUUACAGAGAAUUGUUAGCAUAUCAUUCUAUAUAGAUUUGGUUGUGCUCAGUUUAUGCUUCAACUUACUCAGCCCAUAUAUGGAUCAGUUUUUUUUAUUCAACCAGCAGGUUUAAAGAAGAAAACAAACAAUAUCCCCCCACCCACACACACUUGAUGUGGGUGGAGGAAUCCUCCUACUGUGUCUUUGUAUUCUGACGGUGGGGGGACUUACACUCUGUCAGAAUGCAUUGAUCAGAAAAUCCAAUAAGGUGGUUCUACAGAAGUCAAUUGGUAGAUCUACUUAUUUAUAACCUCCCUGCACAUAUAUAGAUCAAAAUUUGGCCAGUCCCUGCUGAACUGGCAGAAUUCCAAUCCAUGUAUGGCUGCCUUUACUUUCAGCAAAUUUGAGUAAUCACAGCAUUAAAUGUAGGUUAAAUGGAGUGAGGACUGCAUUACACUCUACAGCACCCUCUAACAGGCUAGGUAACUGAAAUACAAUCACAGGUGAUAUAAUUUGCUGCUCAAUGAUUGCAGUAUUCUAGUCUGCAUCUCUUCAAGGUAAUACUUAAAGCGGAGGUUCACCCUCAUUUAUAGUCUACGUUAAUCACACGUUAUAAGUCUCUAUAUUUCAACUUUGCUGAUUAAAUUUUUUUUAAACGAUUCCAUACCUUGUUAGGACGUUCAGAACCAGGCACUUCCUGGUUUGGCUCCUGCGGGAGUGGGCGUGUCGCUUUAGCUGCAAUGGAUGCUAAUAGGAGGUGCCUGUCGUCACAACGGGGCGUGAACUUUUUAUUACGCCGGCCGUUGUGAUGGCAACGGAGAAGUGUUGACGGCGCUGCUUGCCGUCAACACGGCUCAUUCCCCCAGCUUCCCGGAAGCAUUUGCUUGUGGGCUUCACGCUGACCACAAGCAAAAUGGAAACAGCCAGCAUAAAAUUGUAUAAACACACAUUUGAUAUAGGUGGAGAAUGCUGGGUAGUAGAGAACUUAACUAUGUGAGUACUAUCUUUGGAAGAUCAAAAGAGUUUAAUGAACUUUAAACUUUAAAUUAAAACCCCCGCUUUAAUAUCUGGCCUGAUAGGGGAUCCUGAGGACAGGAGUUCAGAACCACUGCUCUACAAAAAAUGUAACCACCAGAAUAGGUUUAGGUACAAUCACUAAAAUCCAGAAUUUUGCCUGAUCUCCCAGGUAAAUAAAUCCAGUUAAGGCUAUGGUGUUAUGGGUAAACUGGUAACUCCUGUGGACUUCUAAUGCAGGACCCUGGCCAAUUUGCACUCAGAUUCUCAUGUCACACAGUCCCACCUCCUCGCCCUGUGAUGAUCACGUCACACAGUCCUCCUCACCAGGCAUUGGACCAGUAUUCUCUCUAUAAAAUGCACCGGGCAAGGAUGCGGGGCUGUGUGACGUGAGCAGCAAAGGGUGAGGAGGCGGGACUGUGUGACAGCGAGCACUGGGAACCCAGAAAUUCAUAUGAAAGCUGAAGAUCGGCCAGCUCGACUCUUCUUCCCCUCUCUUCCCAUAGCUGGGAUUACAGCUCCUGUUUAACCCCGCCUGCCAGAGGUACUCGUCCCCCUUCUCGGAGGUGUCCCAUGCUCGUCAGCCCUCAUUUUCUACUCGCAAAGUUUGAGUAGGUAAGUGGCAAAUUUGAGGGCUGUUAUAUACAGUAUAUAUAUAUAUAUAUAUAUAUAUAUAUAUAUAUUUAUAUAUAUAUAUAUCCCUAACGCAAUGAUCUUGCAUUGCUGUUUAGAGUUAUAAAACUGUGCUGCUAAUGGUGUCUUGCAAGCAUCGUAAUGGGCUGUCAGGAUUUAUUUUUACCUAAAUCAUGUACCAUUAAAGAAAAUAAUGUAAACCAUUUUACAGUUACACAGGCUGUUCUCUCAAUGUACAUUAAUGAAUGUAUAUAGCCUUAGGAAGAAAUAAACUGACACUUCUCAAUAAUGGAUGUUCAUGUCCAUAAAGUAUGUAAAGUUAAACAGUAAUUAAAACUAAUCACUGACUAUUUUAAUCAGUGAAUGUCAGGAAUGGCAUUAUCAUAGUAGCAAUCUCAGUACAGCACUUAUGCAGUAAGCCUCUGUAGAUAAGUCAAGAUGGUGUGAUGGAUGGCAAUUAUGUCUCCAGGCAAUAUUCUUCUUAGUUGCAUGAUUCAGGAAAUGCAGCACUAUCUAUAUAUUUAUUAUAGAUUUUUUUCAGCUUCUCGGCUCCUUUCAUUACAUUUUACUUUUCUCCAUGUUCAAAAUGAUUUUGAAAUAUUAAUCCUCAAAGUAUAGCAUCUGUACUCAAGGAUGUCCCUAGAUCAUCUUCUCUUUGUUAAUAUAUCAAUAUCUACUUGUUUGUUUACAAUUUCUCCAAACAAGGGUGGUAUCUAUGUAAUUCUUACAGUUUUAACUUUUACUUUAGUUUUCUUUCUUUAUCUAAAGUUUAACAGUACAAUGUUAACUGCUACUGGGUAUAUAUGCAUUUAAAGUACAGUCCUCUGUUAUAUCCUACUGGAACAAUUUAGCCUACUUCUUCUUAUAAUAAUGCUUUAGAUAAUUCA